rnacentral:rRNA from 1 species
UACGGGGGGGGGCAAGCGUUGUUCGGAAUUACUGGGCGUAAAGGGCGCGUAGGCGGCCGUGUAAGUCACCUGUGAAAUCCCGGGGCUCAACUCCGGGGCUGCAGGUGAGACUGCGUGGCUAGAGCACGGUAGAGGCGAGUGGAAUUCCCGGUGUAGCGGUGAAAUGCGCAGAUAUCGGGAGGAACACCAAUGGCGAAGGCAGCUCGCUGGGACGUUACUGACGCUGAGACGCGAAAGCGUGGGGAGCAAACAGG